rnacentral:rRNA from 1 species
GACGAACCGAGCGAACGUUGUUCGGAAUCACUGGGCUUAAAGGGCGCGUAGGCGGGCUGCCGCGUCCGGGGUGAAAUCCCACGGCUCAACCGUGGAACGGCCCCGGGUACGGGCGGCCUCGAGGGGGGUAGGGGCGUGCGGAACUGUGGGUGGAGCGGUGAAAUGCGUUGAUAUCCACAGGAACUCCGGUGGCGAAGGCGGCACGCUGGACCCCUUCUGACGCUGAGGCGCGAAAGCGUGGGGAGCGAACAGG